rnacentral:rRNA from 1 species
GGGCCCGCACAAGCGGUGGAGCAUGUGGUUUAAUUCGAUGAUACGCGAGGAACCUUACCAGGGUUUAAAUGCAGAACGACAGGGGUGGAAACACCCCCUUCUUCGGACGGACUGCAAGGUGCUGCAUGGUUGUCGUCAGCUCGUGCUGUGAAGUGUCGGGUUAAGUCCCAUAACGAGCGCAACCCCCAUUUCUAGUUGCCAGCGGUUCGGCCGGGGACUCUAGAGAAACUGCCAGCGUAAGCUGUGAGGAAGGUGGGGAUGACGUCAAAUCAUCACGGCCCUUACAUCCUGGGCCACACACGUGCUACAAUGGUAGGGACAACAGGUUGCCAACCCGCGAGGGUGAGCC